CGUAAGCAACCUGCCCCCGAGACCGGGACAACGUUCCGAAAGGAGCGCUAAUACCGGAUGCGCCCAUUGGACGACCUCGUCUGAUGAGUAAAUCAAGCAAUUGGCUCAGGGAGGGGCUUGCGGCCUAUCAGCUAGAUGGUGGGGUAAUGGCCUACCAUGGCGACGACGGGUAGCUGGUCUGAGAGGAUGGUCAGCCGGAUUGGGACUGAGAUACGGCCCAG
rnacentral:rRNA from 1 species